UUAGAUUAAGGUGAGACUGGUGGUGUUGAAAAGCUAAUUUAAUGGCCGAUCUUUUUGAUGGAUCUAGAGCUUAAAAACUUGAGUUAUUACAAUAUCUCCCCUUUGGAAUCAUUUAUUCCUGAAUGAAACUAACUAAGCUGAAGUACUAGGGGAACAUUGAGAAUUUUUGCAUUGAAUACUUAUGAGCUGAACCAUGACCUGAUAUCUGAUU
rnacentral:lncRNA from 1 species